GUCAACAGUCAUACCACCUGCAGUUCAGUCUAUGUACUCCAUCAGAAACCAAGCAGGUUUGGGCCUGACCGGUGCUUGUAUGGGAGACCAAACAGCUGAAAGCUGGGCUGCUGCUGAAA
rnacentral:rRNA from 1 species